GAUGAACGCUGGCGGCGUGCCUAAUACAUGCAAGUCGAGCGAACAGACGAGGCGCUUGCUCCUCUGCAGUUAGCGGCGGACGGGUAAGUAACACGUGGAUAACCUACCUAUAAGACUGGGAUAACUUCGGGAAACCGGAGCUAAUAUCGGAUCAUAUAUUGAACCGCAUGGUUCAAUAGUCAAAGCCGGUUUUGAUGUCACUUAUACAGGGUACCGCGCCGCAUUAGCUAGUUGGUAAGGUAACGGCUUACCAAGGCGACGAUGCGUAGCCGACCUGAGAGGGUGAUCAGCCACACUGGAACUGAGACACGGUCCAGACUCCUACGGGAGGCAGCAGUAGGGAAUCUUCCGCAAUGGGCGAAAGCCUGACGGAGCAACGCCGCGUGAGUGAUGAAGGUCUUCGGAUCGUAAAACUCUGUUAGUAGGGAAGAACAAAUGUGUAAGUAACUAUGCACGUCUUGACGGUACCUAAUCAGAAAGCCACGGCUAACUACGUG
rnacentral:rRNA from 1 species